rnacentral:rRNA from 1 species
ACGUAGGGAGCGAGCGUUGUCCGGAAUUACUGGGCGUAAAGGGCGCGUAGGCGGGGGUUUAAGUCAGGUGUGAAAACCUCGGGCUUAACCUGGAGACUGCAUUUGAAACUGUAUAUCUUGAGGGCAGGAGAGGAAAGUGGAAUUCCUAGUGUAGGGGUGAAAUGCGUAGAUAUUAGGAGGAACACCAGUGGCGAAGGCGCCUUACUGGACUGUACCUGACGCUGAGGCGCGAAAGCGUGGGGAGCGAACAG